rnacentral:snoRNA from 1 species
UUCCCUGAUGACAAAGGGCCUUGACGGCCUGACCAAUAUAAACCCAGCUCUUCGAAUGUCCAUGACAUACUGAGAAGAAAAACAUUCUGAAC